CCUACGGGGCGCAGCAGUGGGGAAUAUUGGACAAUGGGCGAAAGCCUGAUCCAGCCAUGCCGCGUGUGUGAAGAAGGCCUUCGGGUUGUAAAGCACUUUCAGUGGGGAAGAAAGCCUUGGGGCUAAUACCCUCGAGGAAGGACAUCACCCACAGAAGAAGCACCGGCUAACUCCGUGCCAGCAGCCGCGGUAAUACGGAGGGUGCGAGCGUUAAUCGGAAUUACUGGGCGUAAAGCGCGCGUAGGCGGUCUGAUAAGCCGGUUGUGAAAGCCCCGGGCUCAACCUGGGAACGGCAUCCGGAACUGUCAGGCUAGAGUGCAGGAGAGGAAGGUAGAAUUCCCGGUGUAGCGGUGAAAUGCGUAGAGAUCGGGAGGAAUACCAGUGGCGAAGGCGGCCUUCUGGACUGACACUGACGCUGAGGUGCGAAAGCGUGGGUAGCAAACAGGAUUAGAUACCCCUUAGUC
rnacentral:rRNA from 1 species